rnacentral:rRNA from 1 species
AAAGAUUAAGCCAUGCAUGUCUAAGUAUAAGCAAUUUGUACGGUGAAACUGCGAAUGGCUCGUUAAAUCAGUUAUCGUUUAUUUGAUAGUACCUUACUACAUGGAUACCCGUGGUAAUUCUAGAGCUAAUACAUGCUAAAAACCUCGACUUCGGAAGGGGUGUAUUUAUUAGAUAAAAAACCAAUGCCCUUCGGGGCUCCUUGGUGUUUCAUAAUAACUUGUCGAAUCGCAUGGCCUUGCGCUGGCGAUGGUUCAUUCAAAUUUCUGCCCUAUCAACUUUCGAUGGUAGGAUAGUGGCCUACCAUGGUGG